GCGGACGGGUGAGUAAUGCAUAGGAAUCUGCCCGGUAGUGGGGGAUAACCUGAGGAAACUCAGGCUAAUACCGCAUACGUCCUACGGGAGAAAGCAGGGGCUCUUCGGACCUUGCGCUAUCGGAUGAGCUUAUGUCGGAUUAGCUGGUUGGUGAGGUAACGGCUCACCAAGGCGACAAUCCGUAGCUGGUCUGAGAGGAUGAUCAGCCACAUCGGGACUGAGACACGGCCCGAACUCCUACGGGAGGCAGCAGUGGGGAAUAUUGGACAAUGGGGGCAACCCUGAUCCAGCCAUGCCGCGUGUGUGAAGAAGGCCCUCGGGUUGUAAAGCACUUUCAGUGAGGAAGAAGGCUUGUCGGUUAAUACCCGGCAAGAAAGACAUCACUCACAGAAGAAGCACCGGCUAACUCCGUGCCAGCAGCCGCGGUAAUACGGAGGGUGCGAGCGUUAAUCGGAAUUACUGGGCGUAAAGCGUGCGUAGGCGGCUUGAUAAGCCGGUUGUGAAAGCCCCGGGCUCAACCUGGGAACGGCAUCCGGAACUGUCAGGCUAGAGUGCAGGAGAGGAAGGUAGAAUUCCCGGUGUAGCGGUGAAAUGCGUAGAGAUCGGGAGGAAUACCAGUGGCGAAGGCGGCCUUCUGGACUGACACUGACGCUGAGGUACGAAAGCGUGGGUAGCAAACAGGAUUAGAUACCCUGGUAGUCCACGCCGUAAACGAUGUCGACUAGCCGUUGGGGUCCUCGAGACCUUUGUGGCGCAGUUAACGCACUAAGUCGACCGCCUGGGGAGUACGGCCGCAAGGUUAAAACUCAAAUGAAUUGACGGGGGCCCGCACAAGCGGUGGAGCAUGUGGUUUAAUUCGAUGCAACGCGAAGAACCUUACCUACCCUUGACAUCGUGCGAACUUUCCAGAGAUGGAUUGGUGCCUUCGGGAACGCACAGACAGGUGCUGCAUGGCUGUCGUCAGCUCGUGUUGUGAAAUGUUGGGUUAAGUCCCGUAACGAGCGCAACCCUUGUCCCUAUUUGCCAGCGAUUCGGUCGGGAACUCUAGGGAGACUGCCGGUGACAAACCGGAGGAAGGUGGGGACGACGUCAAGUCAUCAUGGCCCUUACGGGUAGGGCUACACACGUGCUACAAUGGCCGGUACAAUGGGUUGCAAAGCGGCGACGUGGAGCUAAUCCCAUAAAGCCGGUCUCAGUCCGGAUCGGAGUCUGCAACUCGACUCCGUGAAGUCGGAAUCGCUAGUAAUCGUGCAUCAGAAUGGCACGGUGAAUACGUUCCCGGGCCUUGUACACACCGCCCGUCACACCAUGGGAGUGGACUACACC
rnacentral:rRNA from 1 species